AUAUGGUAAAGUAUUAAACCAUAAGGGGGUUAUAUGGUAAAAUAUAAAAAUCAUAGGGGGUUAAUGUGUCAUGUAUUUAUAAGGGUAAUUUCGACAUUUUUAGAAAUUCCGUUACGAGUGACUAUUUCCGUUACUUUGACACUUUAAUCCAAACCAUGAGGGGGUUAUGUAUAGCUUUUGAAACCAUAGGGGGUUAUGUAAAAAA
rnacentral:lncRNA from 1 species